rnacentral:rRNA from 2 species
AGACCCGAAACCCGGUGAUCUAGCCAUGGGCAGGUUGAAGGUUGGGUAACACUAACUGGAGGACCGAACCGACUAAUGUUGAAAAAUUAGCGGAUGACCUGUGGCUGGGGGUGAAAGGCCAAUCAAACCGGGAGAUAGCUGGUUCUCCCCGAAAGCUAUUUAGGUAGCGCCUCGUGAAUUCAUCUCCGGGGGUAGAGCACUGUUUCGGCUAGGGGGCCAUCCCGGCUUACCAACCCGAUGCAAACUGCGAAUACCGGAGAAUGUUAUCACGGGAGACACACGGCGGGUGCUAACGUCCGUCGUGAAGAGGGAAACAACCCAGACCGCCAGCUAAGGUCCCAAAGUCAUGGUUAAGUGGGAAACGAUGUGGGAAGGCCCAGACAGCCAGGAUGUUGGCUUAGAAGCAGCCAUCAUUUAAAGAAAGCGUAAUAGCUCACUGGUCGAGUCGGCCUGCGCGGAAGAUGUAACGGGGCUAAACCAUGCACCGAAGCUGCGGCAGCGACACUCAGGUGUUGUUGGGUAGGGGA